rnacentral:rRNA from 1 species
UGGGGAAUAUUGCACAAUGGGCGAAAGCCUGAUGCAGCAACGCCGCGUGAGUGAUGAAGGCCUUCGGGUUGUAAAGCUCUGUCUUUUGGGACGAUAAUGACGGUACCAAAGGAGGAAGCCACGGCUAACUACGUGCCAGCAGCCGCGGUAAUACGUAGGUGGCAAGCGUUGUCCGGAUUUACUGGGCGUAAAGGAUGCGUAGGCGGAUUUUUAGGUGAGAUGUGAAAACCCUAAGCUUAACUUGGGGACUGCAUUUCAUACUGGAAAUCUAGAGUGCGGGAGAGGAGAAUGGAAUUCCUAGUGUAGCGGUGAAAUGCGUAGAGAUUAGGAAGAACACCAGUGGCGAAGGCGAUUCUCUGGACCGUAACUGACGCUGAGGCAUGAAAGCGUGGGUAGCAAACAGGAUUAGAUACCCUGGUAGUCCACGCCGUAAACGAUGAGUACUAGGUGUAGGAGGUAUCGACCCCCUUCUGUGCCGCAGUUAACACAAUAAGUACUCCGCCUGGGAAGUACGAUCGCAAGAUU